rnacentral:tRNA from 2 species
GCACCGUUGGCCGAGCGGAAAAAGGCAAACGACUCAUAAUCGUUCCUAGAUAGGUUCAAUUCCUAUACGGUGCA